rnacentral:lncRNA from 1 species
UUUUUUUCAUGGAAUACAGUUGUGUCCACCUGCUCUGUGGAGGAUGGACUCCUCUUGCCUCGUGGAGUCAGUUUCCAAGACACCAUCUUCCCAGACGCU